rnacentral:rRNA from 1 species
AGUCGAGCGAUGAAGUUUCUUCGGAAAUGGAUUAGCGGCGAACGGGUGAGGAACACGUGAAGAAUCUGCCCUCCACUUUGGGAUAACACCGGGAAACCGGUGCUAAUACCGAAUAUUGAAACAUAAGUGGCAUCACUGAGUUUUGAAAGAAUUUCGGUGGAGGAUGACUUCGCGGCCUAUCAGCUAGUUGGUGAGGUAAUGGCUCACCAAGGCAACGACGGGUAGCCGGCCUGAGAGGGCGACCGGCCACACUGGGACUGAGACACGGCCCAGACUCCUACGGGAGGCAGCAGUGGGGAAUAUUGGGCAAUGGAGGAAACUCUGACCCAGCGACGCCGCGUGCGGGAUGAAGGCCUUCGGGUUGUAAACCGCUUUCAGUAGGGAAGAAGCGAAAGUGACGGUACCUACAAAAGAAGCACCGGCUAACUAUGUGCCAGCAGCCGCGGUAAUACAUAGGGUGCAAGCGUUGUCCGGAAUUAUUGGGCGUAAAGAGCUCGUAGGUCGUUUGUUACGUCGGAUGUGAAAACCUGAGGCUCAACCUCAGGCCUGCAUUCGAUACGGGCAAACUAGAGUUUGGUAGGGGAGACUGGAAUUCCUGGUGUAGCGGUGGAAUGCGCAGAUAUCAGGAGGAACACCAAUGGCGAAGGCAGGUCUCUGGGCCAAUACUGACACUGAGGAGCGAAAGUCUGGGGAGCAAACAGGAUUAGAUACCCUGGUAGUCCAGACCGUAAACGGUGGGCACUAGUUGUGGGAACCUUCCACGGUUUCUGCGACGCAGCUAACGCA